rnacentral:rRNA from 1 species
GAGUUUGAUCCUGGCUCAGGACGAACGCUGGCGGCGUGCUUAACACAUGCAAGUCGAACGAUGAUGCCCAGCUUGCUGGGUUGAUUAGUGGCGAACGGGUGAGUAACACGUGAGUAACCUGCCCCUGACUUUGGGAUAACUCCGGGAAACCGGGGCUAAUACCGGAUAUGAGCCGUCCUCGCAUGGGGGUGGUUGGAAAGUUUUUCGGUCAGGGAUGGGCUCGCGGCCUAUCAGCUUGUUGGUGGGGUGAUGGCCUACCAAGGCGACGACGGGUAGCCGGCCUGAGAGGACGACCGGCCACACUGGGAUUGAGACACGGCCCAGACUCCUACGGGAGGCAGCAGUGGGGAAUAUUGCACAAUGGGCGCAAGCCUGAUGCAGCGACGUCGCGUGAGGGAUGAAGGCCUUUGGGUUGUAAACCUCUUUCAGCAGAGAAGAAGCGCAAGUGACGGUACGAGCAGAAGAAGCACUGGCUAACUACGUGCCAGCAGCCGCGGUAAUACGUAGGGCGCAAGCGUAAUCCGGAAUUAUUGGGCGUAAAGAGCUCGUAGGCGGUUUGUCGCGUUUGGUGUGAAAUCUAGAGGCUCAACCUCGAGCUUGCAUCGGGUACGGGCAGACUAGAGUGCGGUAGGGGAGACUGGAAUUCCUGGAGUAUGCGGUCGAAUGCACAGGAAUCAGGACCCUCGAUGCCAAGAUUGAACCGGCUCAGGAAUAGAACCUG